rnacentral:lncRNA from 1 species
GAAGGAGCCAGGAGCUCCAUGAGAGCUCAAAACCCUAACUCAACUAAAUCACCAAAUUGAAGGGUGAAUCGAGUCCCAAAUUCACAACCGAACAUGAAUUAGUAAUCACCUUCAUAAGGGGAUCGUAAGGGGUGAAACCCGUUUGUUAUGGAAUCACGUCGAGACGGGCUCAAGCACGAGGUGUUAACGGGCCAAAAGGAGGCAAGGGAUCGGAUACGAGCACGGACGCAUAAGGUUGUAUAAGUCACGGAGGAUCACCGAGGAGUGAAGAUCGAAGACUGAGUCACAAGUUAGAUUGUACGGGAGUGUUUGAAUCU